GCCGCCAAACUCCUCAUUGGUUAUGUCGCCGCCAUCAUGGGGCGUAGCACAGGCCGGCGGGAGGGCGACAGGCGGUCGCGGCUGCGCUACGUAUUUCCUUCGUGUGCUCUGGUGACCCCUCCGCGCUGCCACACUCCACAGCCAAGCUGCACCGAAGGGAGACACCUAGGUGUCGCCUCAUAGAACGACCGGAACGCCAACCCGAGGUGUGUCAUUGUCGAUUUCCUCUCUGCCACCCCCUGCCCUUCUCCCCCAGUGAUGCCCUCCACGACGUCCAGCUCGCGUUGAUGUUCUGCUUCCUAACGAGGAGAAGCAUCGGCCAGCGCUGUAGAAACGGGCAAGGAUGUUGAGCUCAGUUGGCCCGCUGCCAGCCCUCGCUCUUCUCCUACCACUCUCCUUCGCAUUCAUUCUCAUCUGCGCUCAAAAGGACAAGUACCAUCAGCGGUGAACAUGAGAAGGACGACCGCCGAGCAUGUUUCACCGACGGUACAAGAGUUUGUGCAAGACGUACCAUGUGUAUGCCCGAGGUAUCAAUUGUCUACGAAGACAAUCGUGAAAGAUUAAUUAAAGGUGAAUUCUUAGUUGUAUGUCAGACAAUUCCAAAAAUUGAAGUGAUCAAAUCUUAUGGUUAGUGUGGCUACUCCGUCAUUGGCCGAUUCUGGUCUUGCCAAAUCUACUAAUCCAGGGAUGUCCAUGUUAUUAUAUACUGUCAUGGCUAAUCUAAAAAAUACUGUCAUGAUUUUUUUUAGCAACAAUUAGUUUGAUUAUUUGAUGAACAAAUGAUUACAAGUUCAAUUCAUCUCAUUGAAGUAUUUUCUUGGUGUGAUUAGAAAGGAACUGAUCAUGCUCAUUUCCACUUUAUAUAUGACAGUCUAGGAUAAAUUAUGGAGAAUUAUGAUUUAUGAAUGACCAUAGCUGACAGUGAUGUAUUCAUAGGUGCUCUGUUCACCUGGACUGAAUGACGAUGGACAUUAUGAUAAUGAAGCUCUAGGUCCUUCAGGACCUCUCCUGUUCAAAAAAAAAAAAAAGAUUCUACCAGAUGUUCGAUUAUAUAAAUGAUGCAUCAUCAACUUCCAUGGACGCAUAUCACCUGCUUUUUAUUACUACUGUGUACUCAUUAUGAUACACUUCUACUUAUUCACCGUAAUGGCUAUUGCAUGUUUCUUAACUUGGCAUUCAUAGUUAUAUACUGCUUCCAUUGAGAGGAAAACAAAGGUAGUACGUACUACUGCUCCUAAAAUGAAUUUAGAUUUACUAUGUUGCUUUACCUUUUGGACUUUACAUUUCAUAGAAAUCUUUGUUUUAAAGGUAUGCAUGACAUUGUUACAUAUAGAUGGAAACAGCUGUGAAGAAAUGUGUAUUUUUUGUAGGUUCCUUAUGGUAUACAAUAUUUAGUGUCAAAGAUUUGAUAGGCCUUACAGUGUAUGUCUUCAGAACUGAAGCAGCGGCGACAGGGCAUGUACAGGGAGCAGCGGCAGCAGAAAAAAAUUGACAUGCUGGUGCAAUGGAACCAUAAGGAACCUACAAAAAAUGAUCAGGUACAGUGCAUCGAAACAUCUUCAGUUUCCGUUUGGUUAGAACUUUCCCCGUUCACAACAGGCCGUUCAAUUGUCUUUUUCUACUACAUCUUGAAUGUGAAAAUUAGUAGAAGCAUCAUAGUUAUAUUUACUUCAUGACUCGCAUCUUUUCAAAGCUGUUGUCAGUGUUUGGAUUCUGGUGUGUGGAGUCCAGAUUAUUUUUUCCAUAUUCAUUUCAAUUAUCUGAAUCUAAUAUCUGAUGACCUGUAACUCUGAAUUAAAUAUGUUCUCACAUAUUCGUGCGGAGCUCAUCAAACUGAUAUCUGAUUAUUCACCUGCAACAAUGAACUGAAUAUUCCAUUUUGUUUACGAACAGUAUGUUUCUGUACCAGCCUUGAUCAAUUCCUGUUAAACACAGUGAGCAACUACUUAACCUGUAUAUAAUAAGGAUAUAUCUUUUUUUUUUGGUAAAAAGAAGAUAUAUGGUUAAGUGAUAACAACAAUUCCCGAGUCAAAGCAAGUUCAAAGGUCAUUGAGUAGUUAUUUUCGUUUUGUAUGAAACACCCAGAUAUUUUUUUUCUAUUUUUGUAGGAGCCUCAACUUUUGAUUUACAGGAGUCAAACUAUAGUCAAGUAUACUCUAUAUCAUGCAUUAUUUGUAUUUCGACUAUGUUGUUUCUUGAUUAUUAGUUAAAAGGUAGAUAGUACAACUCAACUUCUUAUUCUAAUUUUUGAGAAAUGCAUUCGUUUGCUUAAUGCUCAUAGUGAUACGUCUCUCACUACCUGAUAUUGUCAUAGGCAAUAAAUGUUUUGUGAGUUGGCAAAUUAAUUCCACAACCUGCCGUCCCAAUGUUAUAAGUUCGACAACCAGCCUAUGGGCUUUAAAGAUAAUACUUGCAUCAUACAAAGUGCAAGCGAUGUAGAAAACAUAAUUUGCAAUCUAUUUUGUGCACAUUUGUUAAAAACAAAGUUUAUAUAAAAUAAGUUACUGGAUAAGUGAAUCAGGGCAUGCAUCAUAAAUUUGUACUGUCUUUGUUGCCUUGAUGUCCAUUUUUUUUCUUACCAUUGGAACACAAGGGUCGAGUCACAUCGAAGUUGGGAUAUAUAAUAGCAUUCAUGAAUCUUAGUCUUUCCAGAAAUGUAUAUAUACUUCAUAAAUUUCUUUCGUUUAAGGCUAAGGCUAAGUAGGACGAGUUACUUCAAUCAUCCCUCAAAUCCACCAGUGCCAUGAGAAGAUGGAAUGCAAAAGGAUCAAACUUACAUGACUGCUCUCACGGUCUCACUUGAACUCAAUGAAAUAUUAGGCAAGAUAGCUAAAUUGUGUAUUUUUCACUGCGCUAUGAAUAUUUCUAAUGACGCCGUUUGUCUUCUACAGUAGGCAUGGGAGAAAAGGAUUAGUUGAAGUCAAAUUUGUUCACUGCACCACUAAGUACAUUUGUUUAAUUUGUCACCGUGGGCCAGCCAUGUUGUGUUAUCACUUGCACAAUAACUCCUUAAACGAAUUAUCCAUUAUAGUUCCUAUUCAACACACAAAGUCCGCCUUAGAGGAGCUGAGCAGAUGGUAACGGUGGUGACUUCUUGAGUGGUGGAGAUCAGUGUCGCUGGCGACGACUUCUUCAGUGGUGGAGAUCCGAGUAGAGCUUACUUGCAAUAGAUGAAGCCGGCGUGCCAAACCAGGGAAACAAGGAACUCGGCCAUCUGUAGAGACAUAUGUUUCAGUCUGUAGUUACAUGUAUGUUCACUGCUAUGCCCAUGCUUCCAGUAUAUAUAUGCUGCCCAUGUUUUUUU